AGGGAGGCCCUACGUCACUGCGGUUAGGGAGGCUCCUCCCCACUGGCUGGUGGCUAGCUCCUCAGGCCGUCAGGCAGCCCGCCUCCUGUCGCCGUGGCGACCGACUGUGUUGUGGACUGUCCCGGGCCCACCAGAUCCCUGCCCCCUCGCUGGGGCACUGCCUCUCCCCCGCAUCCGGGGAGGGUGCCCAGCUCUGUCAUUCAACUGCCGGUAUGGGGCCUAGUGUCGAGCAGAGUGGCCUACCAUUUGUGGCUUAGAGGGGUCCCCUGGAGAUGAACAGCGUUGCCCGUCUCUGGAGGGUUGGGUUGCCAUGAGUGGCACCGGGGUGGGUAGUUACCAGUUGGGGUGGGUGACACACAGGAGUGGCCCCGGGGAUGAAUAGUUACCAGGGUGCUGUUGGGGUGGGUGACACAGGGGUGGCCCCAGGAUGGGUAGUAACUAGGGCACAUUUGAGGUAGGUGACACAGGAGUGGCCCAAGGAUAGGUAGUUACCAGGGCGCUGUUGGGGUGGGUGACACACAGGAGUGGCCCAAGGAUAGGUAGUUACCAGGGCGCUGUUGGGGUGGGUGACACACAGGAGUGGCCCAAGGAUAGGUAGUUACCAGGGCGCUGUUGGGGUGAGUGACACACAGGAGUGGCCCAAGGGAUAGGUAGUUACCAGGGCGCUGUUGGGGUGGGUGACACAGGAGUGACCCAGGGUGGGUAGUUACCAGGGCGCUGUUGAGGUGAGUGACAUACAGGAGUGGCCCAAGAGAUAGGUAGUUACCAGGGCGCUGUUUGGGAGGGUGACACAGGAGUGGCCCCAGGCUGAAGCACCAGGGCUGACCUGAAGUCCUGGUAAGGGGAAAAAGGGGAUAAGCGGCUCAAGAUGUCAAAUUUGAUUGUGGGUGGCCGCUAGGCGCUGGAGCUGGAGCACACAGGGUUAAAGAGCGCCCUUCUCGGGGUCUCCCCUCCUCAACACCCCGUCCCUUCCGGGGGAUUUCGGGCCCCAGCCCCUCUGACGUCAGUGGGGUUGCUAUGGCAACCGCCCGACUUUCCCAAAUAAAAUUACUGCGGGCGAGCAAAGUUUCCUGGAGUCGGCUGCGGAGUAAACAAUGGCAGGGGCGGGGCUCGGCGCGGGGGUCCCGAGGCCGGAGCUGGGGAUCCCUGUCCCAGGCCUCUGGGAGAUGGGUCCGGACAAGGGAACUGAGCGAGCGGACGCCCGGGCGGCUCCCACGCGUGCACUUCCUGUCGCCGGCUGCGGGAGGAGAUGUCAAACACCUGCCUAGAACCUGGGAGUUUAGCAAAAUUGGCAAUGCACCUGCCGCUGACUUUGGACUGCCACCCCUACCCAAGCAAGCUGCUCCAGAAGAGCCGAUUUGACUCUUAAGGUCCAGGUCCAGUUCCCACCAGCCUUUCUACAGACAUACAGGGGAGUAACCUGCUCUGGUGCCUCCACAGACCAACCUUGAGUGUACUGCCUGCACAGAGUUCUGCGGCCUCAGUUUCCCCACUUAUUAAAAGCAGGAGGAAGAGGCUACCUCCGGACCGGUUUGAGAAUUCCAUGUAUCAAAAGUGAGUCAAAGGCUAGCACACCCCAAGAACCCAGCCCGUUCUCACAAGGAGGGGCAGGGUGUAGGUGCCGAGUCAAUGGUUGUACCCGGCAGGAUAUGGCAGUCAGAGCAACGUGGGCACUCCCAAAAGACCACUCCAGCCUGAGAAGGGCCUUCUCUCCUUGAGACCUUGGAGCCUUCUCAGCAGCGACACAGACAAGUAUAACAGGCCUGGGGGCACCCAGAAGCCUCCACAUGGGGGCAAGAUUUAAGAAGGGGCCAGAUACGGGACACAUACCUUUAGUCCUAGCACUCAGGCAAGUCACUUUCCCUUUGUUCAAAGCUAGCCUGAGCUACAUAUUGAGGCCCAAGCCUGCCAGGAAUGCAGAACCAGAUUCCCAUGAGUACCUGGAGAGAGCAACAGCCACUCUUCUUCCAGAGGACCCAGGUUCAAUUCCCAGCACCCACAUGGCUGCUGACAAGCAUCUAUAACUCCAGCUCCAGAGGCCCAGUCGUUCUCUUAGACAUGCACACAGGCAAAACACCAGUAUGUAAUAAUAAAUAAAUGUGAAUGAAUAAAUAAAACUUUAAAGAUUUAAUAAAACAUAA
rnacentral:sRNA from 1 species